rnacentral:lncRNA from 1 species
UUCACGAGUCGACUCCCACAGAUCACGAGUCGAUCCCAGAAUAGUCUCAGAAGAUAGACAGAAAGCUAUAAUUUUUUUUAUAUUGGUGCGUCGAUCUAUGAAAAAUAUAAGCCUACUCUAGUCAGACAAUAGUCGAUCCUAGAAGUAAUCGAGUCAAACCGUAAAUGGCCAUAGACAAAAGAUAGAGAGCUAAAAAAUUCACCAUAUUGGCUAGUCGA